UGGAGAAAGGACAUGGAUUAACACAACGCUGAUUCGACAGACAGUCUAAGGUUACAGUUGUGAUAUCUACUCUCGACUCACCAAUCAAAUUCAAAGAUGACUAAGGCUAUGUACCUUGCUCUUGCCGCGGUCCUCAUCGUUGCCGCCUUCGCCUUCGAGAUGGAAGACGAUGACGACAACGAUGUCGCCAUGAUGAAGAGGAUGCCCGAGGUACAUGAAUACCUGUGGGCCGAGAAGAGGGGGCAGAACCUGAAGAAGUACAAGUCCUGUGUCAAGUACGGACAAGAGUGCACAUGCCACCGAAGGACGGGCAACAUUGUAUACUGCACUGGUGCUGGCAAUGGCGAUGGUAUUUAGAUGAAAUGACAACAGACCCGGAUGUCACACUGUUCACCCGACCCAUGCUUCGACCUCCACUCCAAGACUCCUGCAGGCGGUUGCUUAACUUCGUGUUUAUGUCUGCAUGUCUAUCAUUGCGCAAUGAAAGAAAAUAGAUAUGGUUAAACAAAAUAAACUCCUGAAUAUCA